rnacentral:rRNA from 1 species
CCGUUCUAGACUAGGACGUUGAUAGGUUCGGUGUGGAAGCACAGCGAUGUGUGAAGCUAACGAAUACUAAUUGCUCGAUCGACUUGUUUUU